UCUACUUUUGAACAAAUUGAUACGUCCAGCAUGCCGGUCAAAUGCAGACCGGCAUGCUGGACGUAUCAAUUUGUUCAAAAGUAGAAGUG
rnacentral:pre_miRNA from 1 species